CUUACAACUACCUUUGCAAGGUGAAACCUGCUCAAUGGCUAUAAAUAAAAAAUAAUAGUAGUUAAAUAGCCGCGGUAACUCUGACCGUGAUAAAGUAGCAUAAUCACUCGUCAUUUAAUUGGUGACUAGAAUGAAUGGUUAAACGAAUCUCCAACUGUCUCAAUAAUUAAGUUAAUGAAGUUAAAGUAAUAGUGAAGAUACUAUUUAAUAAUUGUAAGACGAAAAGACCCUAUUGAGCUUUACUAAAAGCUUAAAAAUAUCAAACACACAAUAAUAUUAUACCAAAAAAAAUCUUUUAAGCGGAUUAGUUUGGUUGGGGCGACCACCUCUAAAAAAGUAUCAGAGGUAAUCUAAAGGUUAUUUUUAAAUAAAAAAAAGCCUAACUGUAUAUUCACUCAUUAAUCAGUUACUAACAGUAGGAUAUAAUGACCCGCUAAUUUUCUUUUAUUAAUUUUAGCGAACAUGAAAAAAGUUACCGUAGGGAUAACAGGGUAAUAUUUCUGAAGAGUUCUCAUCGAUAGAAAUGUUUGCCACCUCGAUGUUGAAUUGCGAUAACCUAAAGGUGCAGCAGCUUUAAAGGGUUGGUCUGUUCGACCAUUAAAAU
rnacentral:rRNA from 1 species